AUGGAUCCCGCACGCUCAUCACCGUCUCUGGUCGGAACCAAUCCGUGGCAAAACCACGAGACCGCCGACGCAGAUCCGCCUUGGAUAUGGACUGCACCACGCCAUGCCGCCGCGGGAAGCCCGAGCUUCACCCGCCGCCGCAAUCCAAGGCCGCCGCCCCAGGAUCCUGAUCUGGCCAGCCCGGACCUCCACGACGCCCUCUUCACGCCGCCGCCGCCGGCUCGCCACCAGGCAACCGCGCCGCCGCCCAAGGCCUCCGCCCGGAGCACGCCGUCGUGCCACCAUGGAUCAGAUCGCCGCUGCGCCGUCACGCGCGUGGAGGUCCCGCCCCACCCCCUCCGACGCGAUCCAGGGAGGAGAGCCUCCGCCACCACCGCCGGCCCCCGGGCUUAG
rnacentral:rRNA from 1 species